GACGAACGCUGGCGGCGUGCCUAAUACAUGCAAGUCGAACGCAGUGGGGACGGGUGAGUAACACGUGGGUAACCUCCCAUCAGAGGGGAUAACACUUGGAAACAGGUGCUAAACCGAUACUGAUGGAUGGACCCGCGGUGCAUUAGCUAGUUGGUGGGGUAACGGCUCACCAAGGCGACGAUGCAUAGCGGACUUGAGAGGAGGAUCAGACACACUGGGACUGAGACACGGCCCAGACUCCUACGGGAGGCAGCAGUGGGGAAUUUUGGGCAAUGGGAGAAAGCCUGACCGAGCAACGCCGCGUGUGUGAAGAAGGUUUUCGGAUUGUAAAACUCUGUUGGUAGAGAAGCGGUACCUACACAAAAAGCCACGGCUAACUACGUGCCAGCAGCCGCGGUAAUUC
rnacentral:rRNA from 1 species